UCCGUGGUGACGCGGAAUCUGAAGGAAGCUGGAGGCAAA
rfam:Aeribacillus pallidus strain 8m3 NODE_68, whole genome shotgun sequence.